rnacentral:rRNA from 1 species
CCUACGGGAGGCAGCAGUAAGGAAUAUUGGUCAAUGGGCGAGAGCCUGAACCAGCCAUGCCGCGUGCAGGAAGACAGCCCUCUGGGUCGUAAACUGCUUUUAUUCGGGAAUAAACCUACUUACGUGUAAGUAGCUGAAUGUACCGAAGGAAUAAGGAUCGGCUAACUCCGUGCCAGCAGCCGCGGUAAUACGGAGGAUCCAAGCGUUAUCCGGAUUUAUUGGGUUUAAAGGGUGCGUAGGCGGCCUGUUAAGUCAGGGGUGAAAGACGGUAGCUCAACUAUCGCAGUGCCCUUGAUACUGAUGGGCUUGAAUGAACUAGAGGUAGGCGGAAUGUGACAAGUAGCGGUGAAAUGCAUAGAUAUGUCACAGAACACCGAUUGCGAAGGCAGCUUACUAUGGUUUUAUUGUACGCUGAGGCACGAAAGCGUGGGGAUCAAACAGGAUUAGAUACCCUGGUAGUCCACGCCCUAAACGAUGAACACUCGCUGUUGGCGAUACACAGUCAGCGGCUAAGCGAAAGCGUUAAGUGUUCCACCUGGGAGUAACGCCGCAGGUUGAAACUUCAAAUGAAUUGACGGNGNGAGAGNGCGAGACGACGACGAGGGAGAGG